GAUGAACGCUAGCGGCAGGCCUAAUACAUGCAAGUCGAGGGGCAGCGCGGUAGCAAUACUGGCGGCGACCGGCGCACGGGUGCGUAACACGUAUGCAACCUACCUUCAACAGGAGGAUAGCCCGGGGAAACUCGGAUUAAAUACUCCAUAACACAGGGAUCCCGCAUGGGAAUAUUGUUAAAGCUACGGCGGUUGAAAGAUGGGCAUGCGUUCGAUUAGCUAGUUGGUGUAGGUAACGGCUCACCAAGGCUACGAUCGAUAGGGGGUCUGAGAGGAUGAUCCCCCACACUGGUACUGAGAUACGGACCAGACUCCUACGGGAGCAGCA
rnacentral:rRNA from 1 species